rnacentral:rRNA from 1 species
AUUGAACGCUGGCGGCUGGCCUAACACAUGCAAGUCGAGCGAGCGGCGGACGGGCGAGUAAUGUAUGGGGAUCCGCCCGAUAUAGGGGGAUAUCUACUGGAACCGGCGGCUAAUACCGCAUACUCUCGGAUGAACUCAUAUGGGGUUAGCUAGUAGGUGGGUGAAAGGCUCAUCUUGGCGACUAUCUCUAGCUGGUCUGAGAGGAAGAACAGCCACAGUGGGACUGAGACACGGCCCAGACUCCUACGGGAGGCAGCAGUGGGGAAUAUUGCACAGUGGGAGCAAGCCUGAUGCAGCCAUGCCGCGUGUAUGAAGAAGGCCGUAGGGUUGUAAAGAACUUUCAGCCGGGAGGCGUUACCCACAGAAGAAGCACCGGCUAACUCCGUGCCAGCAGCCGCGGUAAUAC